rnacentral:rRNA from 1 species
AUUGAACGCUGGCGGCAGGCCUAACACAUGCAAGUCGAACGAGUGGCGGACGGGUGAGUAAUGUCUGGGAAACUGCCCGAUGGAGGGGGAUAACUACUGGAAACGGUAGCUAAUACCGCAUACCCUCGGAUGUGCCCAGAUGGGAUUCGCUAGUAGGUGGGGUAACGGCUCACCUGGGCGACGAUCCCUAGCUGGUCUGAGAGGAUGACAGGCCACAAUGGAAGUGAGACACGGGCCAGACUCCUACGGGAGGCAGCAGGGGGGAAUAUUGCACAAGGGGAGAGAGCCUGAUGCAGCCAUGCCGCGUGUAUGAAGAAGGCCUUCGGGUUGUAAAGUACUUUCAGCGAGGAGGCGUUACGCGCAGAAGAAGCACCGGCUAACUCCGUGCCAGCAGCCGCGGUAUUC